rnacentral:tRNA from 1 species
UGUUCAGUGGUUUAGCUGGUUUAAACGUCGGACUAGCGAUACGGAGUCGUGGGUUCGAAUCCCACCAAACAA